AUCAAUAUUGUUGUGGGAGAAAAUUUAAUCUCAAUCACAAAAUAAUAAUUUUAUACUAAGAAGAAAUAGUAUAUAAAGAACUGGAGAAACUCAUUCGUGAUUAUGAGAAACUACAAGGGCUGAAAUGAAAAUAGCCGAAGAGAUAAUGUUCUCUUCUUUUUCUUUUUCUCUCCAGAACGAUCCCUGAUGGGGAUUUCUCACCACCAGUCAACGGCU
rnacentral:lncRNA from 1 species